GUAAUUUUUACCGCGUCACUUCAGGGUGAGUAAGUACCCAGGUCAAGGGCGCCACAGCAGGAGCUGCGAUUCGAACCCGGGUCCAAGGGCGGCAGAUGCAACCGCUACGGCACCAGCUGAUCCCGGGUUCUGGAUGUGGAGUUGGACAUGUGAGUGAUAAAGGACUGUGGUGUCCUGGGACUCUACACUUACAGUUACAGUAGAGUAAAGUACAGUACAGUACUCGGCGUCCGCGCUGCGUGCCGAAGCCGUUCAGCAGGAGGCGCCACACGUCGCGCACAUGGACGCCAAUCCCACUGUCUCCUUGCUGCUGCUGUACAGAAACGACCCGAUUUACUCGCUCUGCGCCCCCGAUCUGAUGAGCGCUUCCCAAAAAGUGAACAACGACUUCAUCAGGGACCAGAAGCAGCUCGUGAAGACGCUGAAGAGACUCGAGCAGCAGAAGCUGGCCCGCCUUCGGCAGCUCAAUGAGGAGAAGAAGCAGUUUGCCUUCAUCAUGAGAAAGAGACUGCCUCCGAGGGGCGCGGGCCCUUCCGCCCCUCCAUUGCUCGGCCUGAGCUGCUGCGCUGCGUCCAAAAUCUCCAUCCCAACUGGACUCUUUGUAGGCACCAGCAGCCACCAGGCCAGCGCCACCACCAUCGGAAGCAUGACGCUGAGCCUCUGUAGCAGCCGCCCAGUGGACUUGUCGACACGCUUCCAGGAACGGCGGGAGGGUCCAAAGGUGUGUGCUGCUCCCACAAGGUGUCCCUGUGAGCGUGGACGCGCCAGUAAAUGGGUGACCAGGAGCGAGAGCUUCUUACCAGCUAUGCAGCACCGCGCCGCUUGGGCCGGAACCUCACAGCACUUCAGUGGACGUGUGAGUGGUGUGAAGAAGCCAGGAAAGAACUGA
rnacentral:lncRNA from 1 species